CUUGUAAAGUACUCAGUAUAGUACGUGCUAUAGAAUAUGCCUUAGUAAAUCAAAAUUACCAUUAUUACAGGGUUUGCAUUUUGCCCGGAACCACAGGAGUCUGGUCCCUGAGCUGGAGCGGAGGUAGCCAAGCCUGGAGGAAGCUGAUGCUGCGCGGACAUCUGGCGGGGCACUAGGGUUCCGUGGCUGCCUGUGCCUGUGUCUCUCCUGGGACAGCGUGGAAUCAAGCACCUGUGGGUCCGGCCAAAGUGGUCAUUUGCAUGAAAUUGGAGCAGGUCCUGAAGCCCGAGGGGCCAGAGCUUCGCAAGGAAGAGUGGCGGCCACGUGGUCCUCCCAGGCAGCGAGAUGUGGAACCACGGCUGCAGUGGGUUCCUGGUCCGAGGCACAGAGCCGACAGCAAGGGCACCACAUGGUCCAGACCAAGCUGUCGGAGGGGCUGGCCAUACAGGCUCAGACCCCUGCCUGGCAGACGGAGAACCCUCAGCUGGACACCAUCCCCCUCUGCCUGGGUGGAAGCAAGAAAACUCCAGGAACCCCCUGAACCCCAGAAAGAGGGAGGACCAGGAUCAGAAGGCAUUGGAACAGGUGAAAGCAACGAUCUCACAUCUCUGAGAGGAUUUUCCACUCGCAUCUGACUUUCUACUACAAUUUGGUUUCCUGUGGUGGUUACAGAGGCUGCCAAGCCGGCAGGCUUUGUUACUCCGAGGCGUAGAGAAGGGCCUACAGAGAAAACCAAGCCUCGCCCCGCACCCUCGACCCUGCGUAGAGAGAGAAGCCAGGGUGGUGAAGAGCAGACUGCCUGGUUUUGAGUCCUGGCUCCCCCAUUUCCUAGUGUCUAGCA